GUGGGGAAUAUUGGUCAAUGGGGGAAACCCUGAACCAGCAACGCCGCGUGAAGGAAGAAGGCUUUCGGGUUGUAAACUUCUUUGACAGGGGACGAAAGCAAUGACGGUACCCUGAAAACAAGCCACGGCUAACUACGUGCCAGCAGCCGCGGUAAUACGUAGGUGGCGAGCGUUGUCCGGAUUUACUGGGUGUAAAGGGCGUGUAGGCGGGGCGGUAAGUCAGAUGUGAAAUGUAGGGGCUCAACCCCUGAAUUGCAUUUGAAACUAUCGUUCUUGAGUGAUGGAGAGGCAGGCGGAAUUCCGUGUGUAGCGGUGAAAUGCGUAGAUAUACGGAGGAACACCAGUGGCGAAGGCGGCCUGCUGGACAUUAACUGACGCUGAGGCGCGAAAGCGUGGGGAGCAAACAGGAUUAGAUACCCGUGUAGUCC
rnacentral:rRNA from 1 species